rnacentral:rRNA from 1 species
UUUAGCCUACGGGACGCAGCAGUGAGGAAUAUUGGUCAAUGGGCGGGAGCCUGAACCAGCCAAGCCGCGUGAGGGAAGAAGGUACAGCGUAUCGUAAACCUCUUUUGUCAGGGAACAAAGGCGGGGACUAGUCCCCGGAUGAGGGUACCUGAAGAAAAAGCAUCGGCUAACUCCGUGCCAGCAGCCGCGGUAAUACGUAGGGGGCAAGCGUUAUCCGGAUUUACUGGGUGUAAAGGGAGCGUAGACGGUUAUGCAAGUCUGGAGUGAAAGGCGGGGGCUCAACCCCCGGACUGCUCUGGAAACUG